GUCCCACUGUGAGGAUCCUGGUCUGUCUUCCUACAACCUCCUUCUGGAUGCUGACAGGACUGCUGUUUGAUCCACUCGAAGGCAACUGCUCCAGGCUGAAGAAGGCAAUCUCCCAGAUACGAGUGAAUUGCAAAGAUCACCAAGGCUUAUAUGGGAAGCGCAUGAGAAUCCAGAGCAUCUGAGACCCUAUGUCACAUCUCAUCCUGAAACCAUUCUUCCUUACCUGUCACUCAGAGGGGCAUUCCUGCAGAGAGCAAGUUAUCUAAGUAAAGGACUAAUUAUUAAAAAACAAGUUCAAGAAGAGUUAACUACCAGGAAAUGGAGGAUUCUGGAAUGUGACGAACAAUUUAUAUCUUUAUGGAGAAAAUAGGAGGGA